rnacentral:rRNA from 1 species
AUUGAACGCUGGCGGCAGGCCUAACACAUGCAAGUCGAACGAGUGGCGGACGGGUGAGUAAUGUCUGGGAAACUGCCCGAUGGAGGGGGAUAACUACUGGAAACGGUAGCUAAUACCGCAUACCAUCGGAUGUGCCCAGAUGGGAUUAGCUUGUAGGUGAGGUAACGGCUCACCUAGGAGACGAUCCCUAGCUGGUCUGAGAGGAUGACCAGCCACACUGGAACUGAGACACGGUCCAGACUCCUACGGGAGGCAGCAGUGGGGAAUAUUGCACAAUGGGCGCAAGCCUGAUGCAGCCAUGCCGCGUUUAUGAAGAAGGCCUUCGGGUUGUAAAGUACUUUCAGCGGGGAGGCGUUACCCGCAGAAGAAGCACCGGCGAACUCCGUGCCAGCAGCCGCGGUAAUAC